AUCCUUUUAGGGUUGAUGAGUGUGAUGAUUGGGUUUCUAUGCACACGUCUGACAUGUGCCUCCCUCAGACCUUGUUACCACAUCUGUACAGCACCCAUAGGAUG
ensembl:snoRNA